GGGGAUGUGGCUCAAUCAGUAGAGCGCUCGCCUGGCAUGCGUGCGGCUUGGGUUUGAUCCUCAGCACCA
rnacentral:tRNA from 1 species